AAAUCCCCAACCCCCUGUCAGACACUUCUUGUAUGAUGUUUAGGACCAUCCUCUGCAUCCCUAGAUGUCAGUGGUCCACCCACCACAUCCCACCACCGAAACUGUCUCAAGAUACUGCCAGGUUACUUCUGGGGAAAGAGGACACCUGGUUGAGGUUUAUUUCUAAAGCUUUGUCAGAAGCCGCAGCAGUCCCAGGAGGGAGGAGCAACAUCCUCAAGAUGCAGAGGCAACAACAAGGGCAGGUAAGAUGGCUCGGUGGGGAAAGGCACUUGCCACAGAAGCUUGGCUAACAGGGUACCAUUCCUAGAACCCAUAUAAAAGCUGAGGGGAGAACUGACUUUGUUAAGUUGGCCACUGGCCUCUCCGCACACACACAUUAUGGCAGGUGCCCCCCAAAUAAUAAUUAGGAAAAAAAAUGGAGGCUCCCUAAAGAACAGACCAGUAACAAGUAGGAGGCUGCAGCUGUGGCUUAGCUGGUAUAGUUUGAACCCACACAGUAGGAAUUCUAAAGUUCAGUGACCUCAACAAAGGGUCAUGGCUGAGCAUCACCACUGGUCACCUGCUGGCCUGCAGCACAGGGCCUCCGGCUUCGGAGAAUUGCUUUGCUCUCUGUUCUCCCCUCCUCCUGGAACUUGACAGUCUGUUUGUCGUUUGUUGCUGUGAUUUUGCUUCGUUUUGGUUUGGAGACAGGGUUUCACUCUGCAGCCCAGACCAGAUUUGAACUCACAAUGUCAUCCGUGCUGGCCUCCAGUUUGGGGGUCAAGCAGAUAGACUGGGCAGACUGAGCGACCCAGACAGGAGGCAACAGGGAUUGGUGGCCACUGGAUGAUUGGCAAGUAUCUGUUUAGGGGACACUGCCAAGAGCACGGCUCAGUGUAAGAGAUCUGCUGGGACUCCCAGACUUAGAGUUUAUGAACAUGGGAUCAGUUACUGCCUUUUACAUAGAGCCAGAGUUCUCCAGAAUCAGGUUUCCUUCCUCAGGACACCACCAGCUCCAUACUCUUGUGACAAGGGCUUUAUCUGCAUCUGCUAAUGAGAAGGAGUUCAGGCUUCAGAUGUAGGGAAACUGCCUGCAUAGUGGCUGUUUUAUAUCUGACCCAGAAACCCAAUUUUGUCAUGCAAAGCCAUGGCAGUAAUGAUUCACCAGGUCAUAUGGGGACGAAAACUCAGAGCCCCCUGAGUCUUGACAAAAUGAAACCAUCGAGUCCCAACCUUCUGUACCACACAGCACAGCUGACACUGGUUACAAGUGAGCUCCCUUCUUUGCCUCUCCACAGCAUGCCAAGCGGCAUUCAGGAGCUCUACACAACCGGUGAGCUCAGACUAGAGCCUGAAUCCCCGGGAUGAGCUGCAUUUCAGAGACCCAGCGGAUUUGCACAGCAACCAGGUGACAAGCAACAGAAGCCAAUUUGGAGCACUACAGGAAGAGAGGUCGGAUGGUCGGAUGUCAUGAGCAGGAAUUGAUGGAAGAAUCCAGGCUGGGAGGGGUCACGAGCAUCACAGAAGACCUACAGAGCCAACUAACAUUGGUCCACGGGGGCCCACAGAGACUGAACCAGCUACCAAAGAGCAUGCAUGGACUUAGUCUAGGCUCCCUACACAUAUGUAGCAGAUGUGUAGCUUGGUCGUCAUCCUGGUCCCUAACAAUGGGAACAGGGGCUAACUCUCACUUGGACUCUUGUUGCCUGCCACUGGAUUCCUUUUCCUUAGCUGGGCUGCCUCGUCUGGCCUCAGUGGAAGAGGAUGCACUUGUUCUCAUGAGACUUAAUGUGUCAGGGCAGGUUGGUACCAAGAGGGGGUGGCCUCUCCUCCUCAGAGAAGGGGAGAGGGGA
rnacentral:sRNA from 1 species